rnacentral:lncRNA from 1 species
CAGAAUUCUCUGUGGGUGAUAGAUGGUAUUGGCCGUGGCACUGAUGGCAGAAUGGUCACCUGAGGAAUGGCUGCUUAUAAAUGUCAUUUUUAAAUAGCCGUUUGUGAAUGAUUGGAGUUUAUGUUUGUUGCCCCUUUUUUAUAUAAUUCAGAAUGAGUUGCUUAUGUUCCUAUGCCUGGGGCCUUUCAUGUCAAGUUUAAAACGACAGCGGAUUACAAGUGCCAAGUUAUAAAAUCCUGAAAAUAAGAGUUCCCUAUUGGAAACCUUGGAACUGAAUGCUAGCACUCGGAGAGACUGACUAAUGCUCUGGAUGACUUCAUCUUCUCUUUCUCAUUCAAGCCCCAGAGCUUUAUGGUCAUGUUGCAAUUAGUGAUGUAGUGAUAGAAUGUGUAUAAAAUGUUGUCAUUACUGAUGACUAUUUCUAUUGUCAUCCAGACAAUAUUGUUACUACUUCUUAGAACAUUGAGACUCUUGAGUGUUCUAGGCAUAGGACAGAACAAGUGUAGGAAUCUAAAAGAUAAUUCAAAUAAAGGGGAAGAUAGACAUAAUCCAAAAGAGAGAGAAAGUUGGCGACUGGAUAGGUAUUCCAACAGGCGAUCAUCGUCAGAUGCAUCAUACAAUGCAGGGAUCAAAAGGAUGGCCAGAGGCUACUGUGUUCAAUCCAGAAAUCUGCAGGAGAUAGUGCCUGGGCCUGGAAAGCAGCUCUGCUCCUCAGGAACAUCUGCUCACAGAAAAUGA